GCCAGACUCCUACGGGAGGCAGCAGUGGGGAAUAUUGCACAAUGGGGGAAACCCUGAUGCAGCGACGCCGCGUGAGCGAAGAAGUAUUUCGGUAUGUAAAGCUCUAUCAGCAGGGAAGAAAAUGACGGUACCUGACUAAGAAGCCCCGGCUAACUACGUGCCAGCAGCCGCGGUAAUACGUAGGGGGCAAGCGUUAUCCGGAUUUACUGGGUGUAAAGGGGGCGCAGACGGCGAUGCAAGCCAGGAGUGAAAGCCCGGGGCCCAACCCCGGGACUGCUCUUGGAACUGCGUGGCUGGAGUGCAGGAGGGGCAGGCGGAAUUCCUGGUGUAGCGGUGAAAUGCGUAGAUAUUAGGAGGAACACCAGUGGCGAAGGCGGCUUGCUGGACAGAGACUGACGUUGAGGCUCGAAAGCGUGGGGAGCAAACAGGAUUAGAUACCCCUGUAAUC
rnacentral:rRNA from 1 species